AAGGCUAUAGCUUAAUCGGUAAAGCCAGCUGCUCAUAAUAGCUUAGAUGGGCGUUCAAAUCGUUCUGGCCUUA
rfam:Endocarpon pusillum Z07020 unplaced genomic scaffold C718735, whole genome shotgun sequence.